AAUCAACGCUGGCGGCGUGCCUCAGACAUGCAAGUCGAACGAUUAAAGCUCCCUUCGGGGAGUGCAUAGAGUGGCGCACGGGUGAGUAACACGUAAGUAAUCUACCUUCGAGUGGGGAAUAACGUCCGGAAACGGACGCUAAUACCGCAUAAUGCAGCGGCAUCGCAAGAUGACAGGUGUUAAAGAUUUAUCGCUUGAAGAGGAGCUUGCGGCAGAUUAGCUAGUUGGUAAGGUAAUGGCUUGCCAAGGCUACGAUCUGUAACCGGUCUAAGAGGACGGUCGGUCACACUGACACUGAACAACGGGUCAGACUCCUACGGGAGGCAGCAGUCGGGAAUUUUGGGCAAUGGGCGAAAGCCUGACCCAGCAACGCCGCGUGAAGGAUGAAGUAUUUCGGUAUGUAAACUUCGAAAGAAUGGGAAGAAUCAAUGACGGUACCAUUUAUAAGGUCCGGCUAACUACGUGCCAGCAGCCGCAGUAACAC
rnacentral:rRNA from 1 species